GAUGAACGCUGGCGGCGUGCUUAACACAUGCAAGUCGAACGAUGAAGCCCAGCUUGCUGGGUGGAUUAGUGGCGAACGGGUGAGUAACACGUGAGUAACCUGCCCUUAACUCUGGGAUAAGCCUGGGAAACUGGGUCUAGUACCGGAUAUGAGCGUCCACCGCAUGGUGGGUGUUGGAAAGAUUUAUCGGUUUUGGAUGGACUCGCGGCCUAUCAGCUUGUUGGUGAGGUAAUGGCUCACCAAGGCGACGACGGGUAGCCGGCCUGAGAGGGUGACCGGCCACACUGGGACUGAGACACGGCCCAGACUCCUACGGGAGGCAGCAGUGGGGAAUAUUGCACAAUGGGCGCAAGCCUGAUGCAGCGACGCCGCGUGAGGGAUGACGGCCUUCGGGUUGUAAACCUCUUUCAGUAGGGAAGAAGCGAAAGUGACGGUACCUGCAGAAGAAGCACCGGCUAACUACGUG
rnacentral:rRNA from 1 species